rnacentral:lncRNA from 1 species
AGAACAGACAAUCUGGCCAGCCUACACCAUCAUCUCCAGGGUCUCUGUUCAUGUUUGUAAAGAGAUGGGAGAAAUACUUGAAAGAGUGCGAUGACCAGUCCACUGUCAGUAUGGACAGCUCUGACUCGGAUUGUACUAGUGGAAAAGUUGAUGAUUCAGAAACUGACAAGACAGAAGACAUAUCAGUUCAAGGUAUUCAGGACAAGGUUCUUCAAGAGAAGUUCAUUGG